GAUGAACGCUAGCGGCAUGCUUAAUACAUGCAAGUCGUGGGGCAGCAGGACUGUAGCAAUACAGUUGCUGGCGACCGGCAAACGGGUGCGGCACACGUACGCAACUUACCCUGAACUGGGGGAUAGCCCGGGGAAACCCGGAUUAAUACCCCGUAAUAUAGUGGAGUGGCAUCACUUUAUUAUUAAAGCUCCGGCGGUUCGGUAUGGGCGUGGGGCUGGUUAGGUAGUUGGUUGAGGUAACGGCUCACCAAGCCUACGAUCAGUAACUGGUGUGAGAGCAGGACCAGUCACACGGGCACUGAGGCACGGGCUCGAAUGCUACGGGAGGGAGCAGUAAGGAAUACUGGGGGAGGGAGGCAACUCGGACCAAGCCAUGCCGCGUGGAGGAGGAAGGCCAUCGGGGUGGUAAACUUCUUGUAUAGAAGACGAAACCUGUGUAUUCUUACGCAGUUGACGGUACCCGAGGAAUAAGCACCGGCUAACUACGUG
rnacentral:rRNA from 1 species